rnacentral:tRNA from 1 species
GCCUUCGUGGUGUAAUGGUCAGCAUUCUGAGCCGGUAUUUCAGAGGUCCGUGGUUCGAUUCCCGGCGAAGGCG